rfam:Thermobrachium celere DSM 8682 genomic scaffold, scaffold33
AAAACCUUUAAAAACAGUCCAGAGAGGCUGGGAAGGUUGAGAAGAUCAACGGGUGUAUUAUGCCUUCCCGCAGGGGAAGGAUUUUUUAU